UACGUAGGGGGCAAGCGUUAUCCGGAUUUACUGGGUGUAAAGGGAGCGUAGACGGCGAUGCAAGCCAGAUGUGAAAGCCCGGGGCUCAACCCCGGGACUGCAUUUGGAACUGUGUGGCUGGAGUGUCGGAGAGGCAGGCGGAAUUCCUAGUGUAGCGGUGAAAUGCGUAGAUAUUAGGAGGAACACCAGUGGCGAAGGCGGCCUGCUGGACGAUGACUGACGUUGAGGCUCGAAAGCGUGGGGAGCAAACAGG
rnacentral:rRNA from 1 species